AGUCGAACGUGAAGCGGUUAUUUGUUCCAUCGUGUUCAAAUGGCCGUGGAAAGUGGCGGACGGGUGAGUAACACGUAGGUGACCUGCCUCAAAGAAGGGGACAACCAUUGGAAACGAUGGCUAAUACCGUAUGGUCUUGGCGAGAUGGGAAUCUGCCAAGUAAAGCUCCGGCGCUUUGAGAGGGGCCUGCGGCUGAUUAGUUAGUUGGUGGGGUAAAGGCCUACCAAGGCGAUAAUCAGUAGCUGGUCUGAGAGGACGAUCAGCCACACGGGAACUGAGACACGGUCCCGACUCCUACGGGGGGCAGCAGUGAGGAAUAUUCGUCAAUGGGGGGAACCCUGAACGAGCAACGCCGCGUGGAGGAAGACGGUCUUUGGAUUGUAAACUCCUUUUCUGUGGGAAGAGAAAGGACGGUACCACAGGAAUAAGUCACGGCUAACUACGUGCCAGCAGCCGCGGUAAUACGUAGGUGGCAAGCGUUAUCCGGAAUUACUGGGCGUAAAGGGCACGCAGGUGGUUGUAAAAGUCUGAUGUGAAAGCUCCUGGCUUAACUGGGAGAGGUCAUUGGAAACUAUACAACUUGAGGAGAUGAGAGGGGUGCGGAAUUCCCGGUGUAGUGGUGGAAUGCGUAGAUAUCGGGAGGAACACCAGUGGCGAAAGCGGCACCCUGGCAUUGUCCUGACACUGAGGUGCGAAAGCGUGGGUAGCGAACGGGAUUAGAUACCCCGGUAGUCCACACUGUAAACGAUGAAUACUAGGUGUAGGUUGUGUCAAAGCAAUUUGUGC
rnacentral:rRNA from 1 species